ensembl:lncRNA
GACCUGAACCAGCCAUCUGAACAGACCGGCCUGGACCAGCCAUCUGAACAGACCGACCUGGACCAGCCAUCUGAACAGACUGGACCAACCAUCUGAACAGACCGACCUGGACCAACCAUCUGAACAGACCGGCCUGGACCAGCCAUAAAUUAGACAGGGGAGACAUGACCGUUUAUUUCCUCAGUGAUGAAGAUGGCUCUCUGGAAAUAGACACGACUGAAUAGGGACCCCUGCGGUCACCUACAGCAGGCAACUGCAGAACUGGGUCUUUGAAGGACUAAAGCAGGCUUCCUUGACAUGGUAAAGCAAAAAUGAGCUGAGUGGAGAGAGAGAUAAAGACAGAGAGGGGAGGGAGUAGUGUGCCGUCCUGCCUCUUAGUGCAAUAAUGGAACUGAGGACCCUGUACUAUCUCCCUUCCUUCCUUCCUCUCUCUCUCCCUCACACUCUCCUCUAUCAGAAAAAUGCCAUUGUGUUUGGUGAUCUCAAGCAAACCCAUACUUAACUGAGUGAUCUUACAAAGGGAAAGUCAUUUAGAAACACAUGCCAAUACCAGUCUAAUUUGACUGUGAAAGUAUUUAG